UUUUUCCUACGGGGCGCAGCAGUGGGGAAUAUUGCACAAUGGGCGCAAGCCUGAUGCAGCGACGCCGCGUGCGGGAUGGAGGCCUUCGGGUUGUAAACCGCUUUUGUUCAAGGGCAAGACACGGUCUUUGGCCGUGUUGAGUGGAUUGUUCGAAUAAGCACCGGCUAACUACGUGCCAGCAGCCGCGGUAAUACGUAGGGUGCAAGCGUUAUCCGGAUUUAUUGGGCGUAAAGGGCUCGUAGGCGGUUCGUCGCGUCCGGUGCGAAAGUACAUCGCUUAACGGUGGAUCCGCGCCGGGGACGGGC
rnacentral:rRNA from 1 species